GACGAACGCUGGCGGCGUGCCUAAUACAUGCAAGUCGAACGCAGUGGGGACGGGUGAGUAACACGUGGGUAACCUCGCCAUCAGAGGGGAUAACAAUUGGAAACUGGGGCUAAACCGAUACGGAUGGAGGGACCCGCGGUGCAUUAGGUAGUGGGUGAGGUAACGGCUCACCAAGGCCACGAUGCAUAGCCGGCCUGAGAGGGUGAUCGGCCACACUGGGACUGAGACACGGCCCAGACUCCUACGGGAGGCAGCAGUAGGGAAUCUUCCGCAAUGGACGAAAGUCUGACCGAGCAACGCCGCGUGAGUGAAGAAGGUUUUCGGAUCGUAAAACCCUGUUGUUAGAGAAGCGGUAUCUAACCAGAAAGCCACGGCUAACUACGUGCCAGCAGCCGCGGUAAUUC
rnacentral:rRNA from 1 species